AUCCUCAUCUACUACUUUGUCACAAAUAAAUUUAGCUUUGCCUUGAUCAUCUUUUCGAUAUUGUGGCAAUUGAUAACUCAUAAUCAUUGCUUUUAAAGCACGCCUGAUGAGUUUAAAUUUUUUAAGCUUCACAAUAAUAGAAGCAAAACAAGUGUUAGCAACUGAAAGCAGCUUCAAAGGGCUAACUUGAUUGUAAAGUGCAA
rnacentral:misc_RNA from 1 species